UGCUGGGGGUCAAACGCAGGGCCUUGAAUGUGCUGGGUCACCAUUUUCUCCCUCUUGGCCCGAGCAUGUGUGUUGCAGACAGCUGUUCUGGGUUCCAAGCCCAACCUCUGUUUCCUCUUCCUAAGAAGAAUUGAAGAAUCCCUCUGAGCCAUUUGGGCUCAGAUGGUUUGGGCAGAGCAACAGGCAUUGGCCUUCACCUCCCGCCUCUCUCAGGUCCUGCAGUGCCAGCUCACGCUGACCUUUGCAGUCCGUGGCUCUGUCUGGGGCCCGGGGAAUUCAUUUUGUGGCACGCUGGAAGUGGAAGCAAAGGGAAGCAAGUUGGCCCCGCUGUAGUUGGAAACCUGGCGUCCUGUGCCCUCCGCUCGUGGGCUUCCUAUGGGUGCUGUGCAAAGGGUGCCUCCUGCACCAUGCAGAUGGCUGUGUCUAGCUUUUGAGUUUUGCUGGGCUUGCACAAUCCCAAUCAAGCUUUUUAAAGGGGAACAGGAAAGACAGUUUAUUGAGCAGUAUGUAAAUUUCAUCAUCAGAUAUAGUUGCUUAUGAGCUCAAGCAUGGUCUCCCUCCUUUAGAUUUCCCUGACAGUCCCCUAAUUCAGUCAAGGUCCAACUAGGUGCGCCUUCCUUUGGGCUUUGAUUUUUUUGGUACGGGGGACUGAACUCGGGACCUUGGGCUUGCAAGGCAGGUGGGGCACCACUGAGCUAACUCCCUGGUCCUAAUUAGCUAUCUCGUAGGCAGUUAGACUGGGCUGGCCCUCGAGCAGCCAACAAGGAGGACAAUCAAGUCACAUUAACUGAAGGCCAGUGUUGUAAAAGAAGAGGGAAUCUACUAUACCAGAUUGCUUCCCCUAGGGAUGAAUAGCAUUGAUUGAUAUUCUAAAUAGGUAUCAAUCACCUGGGUGGGGGACCAAGAUUUUAACCUACCCCUUCCAGGAAAGAUCUCUGACCCAUUCCUUACCUGAAAUCCUUGCUCAUUCCGUGAACCUUACUUCCCCAUUGGAUCCCCAUUUAAUCAAUAUUACCUAAGCGAGUAUAAUCUUAUUGGUUGAUCAUAGUUUUGUCCCACCUUGUGAUUUCCCACUGGAUCAAUACUACCUAAGUGACUGUACUUGUAAUCUUACUAGUUGACAAUAGUUUUGUCCCACCUUGAACCUGCCUCACUUCGUGAGGCUUUGCUCCAUAAAAACCCCACGGGAAAUAGGGUCCCCAGGCAACCCAUUUUCUGGUCUCCUUUCUGUCUCUCUUAGGUAGAUACUAUCUUUCUCUCAAUAAAUGUUUCCUACUCUCUCUCUCUCUUUUUUUUUUGUGGUACUGGGGUUUGAACUCAGGACCUUGUGCUUGCAAGACAGCCUCGGUGCCACUGAGCUAAAUCCCUGGCCCCAAAUGUUUCCUACUCUUAACCUCCAUUGUUCUAGAAUUCAUUCUUCAAUUUUAGAGAACAUGAAGUCACGUUUCAGAUAUCUAGCAGGUUUGGGAGUUACAUCUCUUCUCCCUAUAUCAGUGUGAUACUCCUGCCCCAGCUUUCUCAGUGCUGAGAUUACAGGCACACAUUACCACACCUGGUUUGUGGGUUUUCUUUCUUUUUUUUGGUACUGGGGAUCGAACUCGGGUCCUUGUACUUGCUCAGCAGGCGGCGAAACCACUGAGCUAAAUCCCCGGCCAGCACUCUGCAUUCUUAAAACUCAAC
ensembl:lncRNA